rnacentral:misc_RNA from 1 species
GAUGAAGAACGUAGCGAAAUGCGAUAAGUAAUGUGAAUUGCAGAGUUCAGUGAAUCAUCGAAUCUUUGAACGCACAUUGCGCCCGUUAGUAUUCUGACGGGCAUGCCUGUCCGAGCGUCAUUUCAACCCUCAUGCCCCUAGGGCGUGGUGUUGGGGAUCGGCCAAAGCCCGCGAGGGACGGCCGGCCCCUAAAUCUAGUGGCGGACCCGUCGUGGCCUCCUCUGCGAAGUAGUGAUAUUCCGCAUCGGAGAGCGAUGAGCCCCUGCCGUUAAACCCCCAACUUUCCAAGGUUGACCUCAGAACAGGUAGGAAUACCCGCUGAACUUAAGCAUAUCAAUAAGCGGAGGA